rnacentral:rRNA from 1 species
AGCGAACGCUGGCGGCAGGCCUAACACAUGCAAGUCGAACGAAGCCUUCGGGCUUAGUGGCGGACGGGUGAGUAACACGUGGGAACGUACCUUUUGGUUCGGAACAACUCAGGGAAACUUGAGCUAAUACCGGAUGAGCCCUUAGGGGGAAAGAUUUAUCGCCGAAAGAGCGGCCCGCGUUAGAUUAGCUAGUUGGUGAGGUAAAGGCUCACCAAGGCGACGAUCAGUAGCUGGUCUGAGAGGAUGAUCAGCCACAUUGGGACUGAGACACGGCCCAAACUCCUACGGGAGGCAGCAGUGGGGAAUCUUGCGCAAUGGGCGAAAGCCUGACGCAGCCAUGCCGCGUGAAUGAUGAAGGUCUUAGGAUUGUAAAAUUCUUUCACCGGGGACGAUAAUGACGGUACCCGGAGAAGAAGCCCCGGCUAACUUCGUGCCAGCAGCCGCCGUAACAC